GUUAAAAAGCUCGUAGUUGGACUCCUGUAUGGAAGGGGCGUCCCCACCCUUUGGAUGGGGGUUGCUACCUUCUUUGCAUCUUCUUGAGUAGAUGUUCCUCACUUAACUGUGAGGACAUCGUGCUCGGGACAUUUACUUUGAGGAAAAGAGAGUGCUCCAAGCAGGCAAACGCCUGAAUACGUUAGCAUGGAAUAAUAGCAUCGGGUCAUCGUACAGCUGUUGGUGUCUGGACGAGGAUAAAGGUGAACAGGGAUUGUUGGGGGCAUUCGUAUUUAACUGUCAGAGGUGAAAUUCUUGGAUUUGUUGAAGACGAGCUACUGCGAAAGCAUUUGCCAAAGAUGUUCUCAUUGAUCAAGAACGAAAGUUAGGUGAUCGAAGACGAUCAGAUACCGUCCUAGUCUUAACCAUAAACUAUGCCAACUGGAGAUGGGACGUGUUUAUUUUACGACUCUUCCUGCAUCUUGAGAGAAAUCAAAGUCUUUGGGUUCCGGGGGGAGUAUGGUCGCAAGGCUGAAACUUAAAGGAAUUGACGGAAGGGCACCACCAGGAGUGGAGCCUGCGGCUUAAUUUGACUCAACACGGGGAAACUUACCAGGUCCGGGCAUAGGUAGGAUUGACAGACUGAGAGCUCUUUCUAGAUUCUAUGGGUGGUGGUGCAUGGCCGUUCUUAGUUGGUGGAGUGAUUUGUCUGGUUAAUUCCGUUAACGAA
rnacentral:rRNA from 1 species